GUACUGAUGAUGAUCAUCUGCUGCUGCACAGGCUGUAAAGUAUAACCCCUGCUGGACACGGCUCCGGAAGCUCCAGGGGGAGACCGAACUGGUAUCCCCCCUUCUUCAGGCGCGCCUCACACUCACUCACCAUUCACACAUAUCGCAGAGUUCUGGCUGGGACCGAUACCAGCAACCCCUGAAGCCGUGGGGCAGCGCUCUUACCACAGAGCCACAGAUCUCCUGUCUGAGCACCUGCUGGAACUGAUGUUGGACUGCUGACCUGUGUGUGAGCUGAUUCAAUAAAACAAGAAUAUAUGUCAGAUCUGAA